rnacentral:snoRNA from 1 species
GGUGGCCUAUGAUGAUCUGCAAAUUUUGCCUACAUUGUUUGAUUUCUAUUCAUGAUAAAAAAUUGCAUCCCUUCUGAGGCCUUC